UCUUCUCUUGUUUCGAUAUUUCUCUCUCUCUCAAAGAUUCUAGAUCCGCUCAUCACGAAAUUACAGAGCAAAAUCAACAUUCAACUAUGUGGUUCAACAAAUGACAACAUCAUUUUGCUUCUACUCCACCGAAAGAGAUCAAAUGAUCUCUCCGUCUGCUUGUAAUGGCACUCUCAAGGGAUUUGAAACUCUAUGGAAUUGUUACAAUCAGAAGCAUCAAGCCCAAAGUCCUCAGCGAAAAUUACAUCAGAUUUGUUAAAUCAACAUACUUGGUGUCGUCCCUGACCCUAAUUUUGAAACGGUUUCAUGGGUUUUUGUUUGUAAAGCAACAUAAGGAGGCUGAGGUGAUGAGCUGAAGUGCGGAUGAACCAUGGAAGAUUUAACUUCUGUUUGGAGAACCCCACAUCUACUUAUCAAAUUGAAGGUGCAUAUUCUGAAGAUGAAAGUCUCGCACUAAUUGGGAUGUAUUCUUUCAUUCUACAGGAGGACAUAUGGAUAUCAAAGCAAUUGGAGAAAUAGGGUCUUUGGUUUUCAUAAAGCAAGGUGCUGAAGUUUCAUUACGGUUGUUGGCAGCAGCUCUGGCCAGCUUGCGAACCAUUAUGGAGACGGAACCAGGGCCCACAUGAAGGCAUUCAGGUCCCGCAUGCUAGCAUAUUACCGCAAGUACAAGUAGAAGCUUUUCUUUGGGGCCUUGGAACCGCAUUAGGAAAGCCCCCUCCAUAUUUUAUUCAACGAGUCUCUCAGGCGAGAUAGUAGAUGCUGCAGAAGAACUAGAUGCAUCUUCAUCAGAUAAUCAUGGAUUUGCGUCAAUCUUAAAUCGUUUAAAACGUUGGUUCCUGUCACAUGCACAAUAUCUGAGCUUUUUCACAAUUUUGGUGCUUGCUUCGGUGCCAAAUCCUCUAUUUGACCUUACUGGCAUAAUGCGGGCAAUUUGGAAUUCCGUUUCGGGAGUUUUUUUUUGCAACCCUUAUGGAGACGGAACCAGGGCCCACAUGAAGGCAUUCAGGUCCCGCUUACUAGCAUAUUACCAAAAGUGAUGUCGGAAGCGCACCAACAAAGACUGCAGUGAAAAAGAUCAAGUAAUCCGCCAGCUGUCAUCACGGUUGAGUGAAAAAAGUUGUGUGAUAAACGAGUUAAGUAACAUAGUCAAAGAAAGAGAACAGCAAAUCAAGAAGAUAUCAGAUUGUGCAGCGGGUGCGUUUGUGGUUGUGAACCGGUUUUCUGAGAUUAAAGACGGUUUAAAUAAAGCGCUGAUGCAGAAAGACGCGGAGCUUGAAUCAAGUUGAAUUUUCUCUUUAUUUUUUUUAUUUUGUCUUAGUUAAAAAUGAAUAAUUUAAAUUUGAGCCCUAAUAAUUAGAAUGAUAGAACCGGUAUAUGGUUUUCUAAACAACACCUGCUGGUCAACAUGCUGUUUCUUCAAAGUGUUUUGAGUCUGCGCGGUCGAUUCUGAGGUUGAUUUAGUAACUAAUAUUACACUAAGGCUUGACGAGCCUGAUGAGCUUCACAUGCCAAGCUCUAGCUCGAGCUGCUUUACAUGGGCGAAGCUAUUGAACACGUUUUGCACAAGCGGAAAGCUUGAGCUCGAACUGCUUUACAAAGUUCAAGUUCAGUGUUACGAAGAUACGAAGCUAAUGAAGUUGUUCCCUGAAGUUGUUAGGUCUCUUUAUGACCAAGACGUUCUUGCUGAAGACACGAUACUUCAUUGGGGUGCUAAAGGAACCAACCCGAAAGGAAGGCAAAGCUUUGUGAAGGCGUUGGAGCCGUGUGUGAAGUGGCUGGAAGAGGCAGAAGAGGAGGAAUAGAUAUUUUUCUAUCUUUUCUCUUUAAUUCGAGUGUUUAAACUUUGAAAUUUUCUGUUAACUUUUAACCUUGUUUUUUUAACUGUUGUUAUUUGUCACAAAUUUUAGUUGUAAAAAAAUAACGACCAAAAGUUAUAAUAGAAAAAUGAAACUAUUGGGUUAAA